AUUGAACGCUGGCGGCAGGCUUAACACAUGCAAGUCGAGCGGGGUGAUGGUGCUUGCACUAUCACUUAGCGGCGGACGGGUGAGUAAUGCUUAGGAAUCUGCCUAUUAGUGGGGGACAACAUUCCGAAAGGAAUGCUAAUACCGCAUACGUCCUACGGGAGAAAGCAGGGGAUCUUCGGACCUUGCGCUAAUAGAUGAGCCUAAGUCGGAUUAGCUAGUUGGUGGGGUAAAGGCCUACCAAGGCGACGAUCUGUAGCGGGUCUGAGAGGAUGAUCCGCCACACUGGGACUGAGACACGGCCCAGACUCCUACGGGAGGCAGCAGUGGGGAAUAUUGGACAAUGGGCGGAAGCCUGAUCCAGCCAUGCCGCGUGUGUGAAGAAGGCCUUAUGGUUGUAAAGCACUUUAAGCGAGGAGGAGGCUACUUUAGUUAAUACCUAGAGAUAGUGGACGUUACUCGCAGAAUAAGCACCGGCUAACUCUGUGCCAGCCGCCGCUGUAAUAC
rnacentral:rRNA from 1 species